rnacentral:tRNA from 1 species
CGGCGGCGCGCCGGGCGGCUCAGCCGGACGCGGGCUUGGGGUCGGCCUCUUCGACGAUCUCGAAGCUCCACAGCUCGGCCGCCGUGGCCGCCGG